UUCUCUGCACGAAUACCGAGAGAAGACGAAUGGGUGUUCUUCGUGUUCUUCAUAUUCAAACGAGGAUUUGAAGGCGUUAUUGGAAUCCGAUGGAGGCAUAUAAAUAGUCAAAACGAAGCUCUCGACGCGUAGAAUCUAAUGCAAUCAUCCGUUUCAGUGCAGAAUCAUCAGGAUUUGGACGAGACGUAUACGAUUGAAGACGUUCAGAAGGUCAAACGAUGUUACAAAGCGAAUAAGGAACAAGUCAAGAAAGCGAAGUCGUAUUACGAAUAGAGUAUAUACAGAGAUGGUCUGGAGGUUAUGAUAUGCAUAGAUUGUGAGUUGGAAAGAUGAAAUUAAGCUGUGUGUGUGGAAGCGGAUUUAAGAAAAGCUUAGAGAUGAAUUGCUUGAUUGAGAUUGCGAGUAUGGCUAAGGCUAGGCGAGGAGUCAGAGUAUAGAAUAUACAGAGGACAAGUGGAAAUGUUCAGGGAGAUUGUCAAGGUUGGUUCUAGAUAGAAUUGUUGAGAUUCAGUUGUAAUCAUAAUUUAAAUAGACUGGCAGUGAUUCUUCUUAUCGAAGAUGAUCUGAGUUUGUAAGAUAAUGUUUAUUGAUAGUGGUUGAUUCUAAUUUCAAUACUGUAACCUGGAUGCGAUCCUGUUUUUAGGGGGUUAAAGUGUUUUCUUUUAAAUCUUUUACUAAA